rnacentral:rRNA from 1 species
GACGAACGCUGGCGGCGUGCUUAACACAUGCAAGUCGAACGGAAAGGCCCUGCUUUUGUGGGGUGCUCGAGUGGCGAACGGGUGAGUAACACGUGAGUAACCUGCCCUUGACUUUGGGAUAACUUCAGGAAACUGGGGCUACUACCGGAUAGGAGCUCCUGCUGCAUGGUGGGGGUUGGAAAGUUUCGGCGGUUGGGGAUGGACUCGCGGCUUAUCAGCUUGUUUGUGGGGUAGUGGCUUACCAAGGCUUUGACGGGUAGCCGGCCUGAGAGGGUGACCGGCCACAUUGGGACUGAGAUACGGCCCAGACUCCUACGGGAGGCAGCAGUGGGGAAUAUUGCACAAUGGGCGGAAGCCUGAUGCAGCAACGCCGCGUGCGGGAUGACGGCCUUCGGGUUGUAAACCGCUUUCGCCUGUGACGAAGCGUGAGUGACGGUAAUGGGUAAAGAAGCACCGGCUAACUACGUG